UCCGUUGGUGAACCAGCGGAGGGAUCAUUACCGAAGUUACUCUUCACAACCCUUCUGUGAACCCUACCGACCUUUGCCGCGCGUUGCCUCGGCGGGGAGGUCCGGGGUCGGGGGGUGGCUCCCCGCGGGCCCCCCCCCUAACUCGGGCCCCCGCCGGCCGUGCCGAACUCUUCUAUUUGCGAAAGCGAACUGCAUGUCUGAUUGCGUCUUGAAAACAAGUCAAAACUUUCAACAACGGAUCUCUUGGUUCUGGCAUCGAUGAAGAACGCAGCGAAAUGCGAUAAGUAAUGUGAAUUGCAGAAUUCAGUGAAUCAUCGAAUCUUUGAACGCACAUUGCGCCCGGCAGCAAUCUGCCGGGCAUGCCUGUCCGAGCGUCAUUUCUGCCCUCGAGCGCGGUUCGGUCCCACCGUGGGCCGCGCCGCCGCCCGGUGUUGGGGCGCUGCGGGCCACCGUUGCCCGCAGGCCCUGAAAUGAAGUGGCGGUCCCGCCGCGGCGCCCCCUGCGUAGUAAGUUAGCUCACCUCGCAUCGGGUCCCGGCGAAGGCCAGCCGUCGAACCUCAACUCCUGAUGGUUUGACCUCGGAUCA
rnacentral:misc_RNA from 1 species